AUUUCUGUUAAUAGGGAUGUGAGUCUAGAUCAGUGAUAUUCAGAUCUCAGUGAGUCAGGAGCCAAAUUAGCAAUCGACAUUACCCAAAAGAGCCACAGUA